UGUUGCCUGAUGAUGUUGACUAUCAUACUCGGAAAUUCUUACGUCUGCAUCUAGAAAAGAAUGAUAUUCUCUUUCCUGAUGGUCUGGUGUGCCAAGACCUGCAUAACUUGUGGCUACAAUGCAACAAACAUGCACAACAAUUCUUAGGUGACUUCUUUGGUAUGUUUGUGAAUCUCAGAUUUCUACUGAUUGAAGAUAUGUUGUUUUCUUUAGAGCCACAGUUCUCUCUACGGCCCUUGGUUAAUCUCAGGACCUUGAUAUUAGAUGGUUGUGAGAUUACUCAUGUUUCCCAAACAAAUGCUAGUUUUUUCCCAGAAAACCUGGUAGCUCUAUACAUUUGGAAUUGCGAUCUCCCACGGCCACUGAAUUUACCAAUCCUGAAACAUCUUAGAAAGCUCGAAAUCCAAGGGUGGAGGAGCAAUAAUAUCCAAAUGGUGCCAAAUACUGUAUCCAGUAUGCCCAGUCUACAGGAAUUGCACAUACCAGGUGGAUACAANUCACCUUUUUCCUACUACAUCUUUGUUUUCGUUAGCAAUUUUUUAAGUCCCUGCAUCAUUCACUUGCUUCUAACUUUCAUAUUCAAGAAAUUCUCCUUUCUCCAGCCCUAUUUCUUCCUAUUCUCUCUUGGUAUUCAUUUCAUUGCAUCUUCAUCACCUUUUUCUUCUACAUCUUUGUUUUUUUCUUAAAUUCAAGCCAAAAUUAAUAAAAAAGGGGUUGAAAAGCAAGGAUAAUUAUGGUUGGUCUAUCUGACAUUCCCUGUGUGGGAAAGAACGUGGACAGGAUAUCCGAUGCAGCAGUUGACGCACUAUUUCGCGGAUUCAGUUAUAUGUUUUCUUACAAGAAUCAUGUUCAGGUUCUUGAAACCGAAAUUCAGAAACUUGACGCUGAGAUGGAUCGGAUGUCCAGAAAAGUCAGGGAAGAAAAAGAUAAUGGUAAAAUGAUCGUUGAUGGCGUGAGUACAUGGCAGGCAGAUGUAGAAGAAGUCAAGAAGAGUGCUGAAGAAAUUUUAGAAAAAUACAAAAACAGAUCUUCAUGGAGGUGCAUUCAGUGGAUGCCUAUUCCUAAACCAGUCUCCCGAUCCCGAUUGGGUCGGGAGGCAGCACACAAGGCCAAGAGAGUAAUUGAACUCUCUGAUUCUGCAAACAAUCUCUUGGCUAAUGGAAUUGCAUAUGGUUCUCCUGCUGAAAAUGCACCAAACACUGUAUAUCAGACUUUCAAAUCCAGAAGUGAUGCUUAUGACAAGCUAUGGAAAGCGCUUGUAAGUGAAGGUGGUUCUACUGUUCUUGGCAUCUAUGGAAUGCCUGGAGUUGGGAAGACGACAAUGAUGGAGAGUCUAUGGAAGGAAGCCCUUGAGAAAAAAAUCUUCGACAAGGUAACUCGGGCAGAUGUGGGCAAUGAAGACUUGGAUGUAUUUAAAUUGCAAAAACAAAUCGCGGACCAUCUGGAUUGCCAUUUAAAUCCGGAAGAUGAUGAGCAACACAGAGCUUCUCAACUGAAAAAGAGAUUAACGAAUGGAGAGAAGAUCCUCAUUAUACUAGACGAUGUAUGGAAGGAGAUCCCGUUGCAUCGUAUUGGAAUUUCAUUGGGCGAUGGUGAUAGUUCCACUCAUCGUAAGAUCCUUUUGACAUCCCGGAAGAAAAGAGUAUGCAUGGAUAACAAGUGCCUGCAUCCGGUAAAGAUUGCACCUCUUGGACCUGAAGAAGCAUGGCAAAUGUUCAGGAACACUGUUGUUCCUGAUAACAUUUACCUUCUUCCAGACGAAUCCCUGGCACUGGAGGUGUGCAACCAAUGUGGGGGAUUACCACUCCUAAUUCACGCGGUUGGUAAAGCUCUGCAAUUCACAUCUCCUGAUGUAUGGAAGGAUGCACUAAAUCAACUCGUGAUGGGCAACUUUGAAAAAAUUGCUGAUAUAGAUUCGAAUGUAUAUGCCUGUGUCAAACUGAGUUUUGAUAGAUUACCCGACGAUGCCAAGUCGUGUCUUGUUUUGUGUUCCUUGUAUCCAGAAGAUGCUAGCAUUUAUAUCAAUAAGCUGAUCCCGCUAGCAACAGGGUCACGGCUGGUACGCGGUGGAGAAGCUAGAAUACGUUCGAUGGUAGAGAUUCUCAGAUCAUCUUCCCUGUUGCUGGACUCUGAAGAUCAUAUAAUAAAAGUGCAUGACCUCAUCAGAGAUGUAGCUAGAUCCAUAGCCGUCAAAGACCCGAAAUAUUCGUUUUCACUUGUAAGAUGUGGCUCGCUGUUGCCUGAUGAUGUUGACUAUCAUACUCGGAAAUUCUUACGUCUGCAUCUAGAAAAGAAUGAUAUUCUCUUUCCUGAUGGUCUGGUGUGCCAAGACCUGCAUAACUUGUGGCUACAAUGCAACAAACAUGCACAACAAUUCUUAGGUGACUUCUUUGGUAUGUUUGUGAAUCUCAGAUUUCUACUGAUUGAAGAUAUGUUGUUUUCUUUAGAGCCACAGUUCUCUCUACGGCCCUUGGUUAAUCUCAGGACCUUGAUAUUAGAUGGUUGUGAGAUUACUCAUGUUUCCCAAACAAAUGCUAGUUUUUUCCCAGAAAACCUGGUAGCUCUAUACAUUUGGAAUUGCGAUCUCCCACGGCCACUGAAUUUACCAAUCCUGAAACAUCUUAGAAAGCUCGAAAUCCAAGGGUGGAGGAGCAAUAAUAUCCAAAUGGUGCCAAAUACUGUAUCCAGUAUGCCCAGUCUACAGGAAUUGCACAUACCAGGUGGAUACAAGAUUCAAGAUGAUGGAUGUGGAAAAAGUUUGGAUGCUGUUUCGGCACCAAUAUUGGGGGAGAUUAGUAAGUUGACUGGGCUGAAAAGUUUGCAGAUGUUCUUUUUCAGCAAUUCCGAGCAUUUUCAAGAUACAAAUAUAUUUGGUAAUUUACUUCAAUAUAAUAUAUCAGUGGGUGCAAAGCCGCAUGAUCGUCCUCUUAUAGAAUCCAGUGUUUCUAUCAAGAGAUUGAUUGAGCUGCAGGGUAGUGGUUUAGAAAGCUUAAAAGGUCUGAUUGAGAGGGCUGAAGAAGUAUCAUUGGAUUGCACCGACAUUCAUGUGGGUAGCAUAUACAAUAGCAACAGGGAAGCAUUUACAGAUUUGAAAAACUUGUACAUUAGAAAUUGUAACACUAUAGAAUAUCUUGCAAGGAUAUCAUGUGGUGAGAUUCAACAUUCAAGGUCUUUCGCAAAUCUCGGCGUCUUGGAAAUCAAAGAUUGUUCAGCAUUGAAAUACCUCUUCAGCAAAUCCGUUGCAAAAUGUCUCGUGCAACUGCAGGAGUUAGCCAUUGUAAGAUGUCCUGUGAUGGAAGCAAUUUUAAUGAAUGAAGGCACAAGUGAUAGAGAUGGCGUCAUCAGCUUCUGCAAAUUGAAGUUUUUAUCAAUAUAUAAUAUUCCGAGACUCAAAAGCUUCUGCAUGCAAAAUAAAGAUCUGCACUCCGGAUCAACAACACACAACUCCGCUAUCUCGAACAUUCAAGCUCAACCCC
rnacentral:lncRNA from 1 species